rnacentral:rRNA from 1 species
UACAGAGGUCCCGAGCGUUGUUCGGAUUCACUGGGCGUAAAGGGCGCGUAGGUGGCCUGCUAAGCGUGCGGUGAAAAGCUCGGGGCUCAACCCCCGAGUCGGCCGUGCGAACUGGUGGGCUUGAGCACUGUAGAGGCAGGCGGAAUUCCGGGUGUAGCGGUGGAAUGCGUAGAGAUCCGGAAGAACACCGGUGGCGAAGGCGGCCUGCUGGGCAGUAGCUGACACUGAGGCGCGACAGCGUGGGGGAGCAAACAGG